rnacentral:rRNA from 1 species
AGAUUGAACGCUGGCGGCAGGCCUAACACAUGCAAGUCGAGCGGUAGAGAGGUGCUUGCACCUCUUGAGAGCGGCGGACGGGUGAGUAAAGCCUAGGAAUCUGCCUGGUAGUGGGGGAUAACGCUCGGAAACGGACGCUAAUACCGCAUACGUCCUACGGGAGAAAGCAGGGGACCUUCGGGCCUUGCGCUAUCAGAUGAGCCUAGGUCGGAUUAGCUAGUUGGUGAGGUAAUGGCUCACCAAGGCGACGAUCCGUAACUGGUCUGAGAGGAUGAUCAGUCACACUGGAACUGAGACACGGUCCAGACUCCUACGGGAGGCAGCAGUGGGAAUAUUGGACAAUGGCGAAAGCCUGAUCCAGCCAUGCCGCGUGUGUGAAGAAGGUCUUCGGAUUGUAAAGCACUUUAAGUUGGAGAAGGCAUUAACCUAAUACGUUAGUGUUUGACGUUACCGACAGAAUAAGCACCGGCUAACUCUGU